rnacentral:rRNA from 1 species
CCUACGGGAGGCAGCAGUGGGGAAUUUUGGACAAUGGGCACAAGCCUGAUCCAGCAAUGCCGCGUGCAGGAUGAAGGCCUUCGGGUUGUAAACUGCUUUUGUACGGAACGAAACGGUGAGCUCUAAUACAGUUUGCUAAUGACGGUACCGUAAGAAUAAGCACCGGCUAACUACGUGCCAGCAGCCGCGGUAAUACGUAGGGUGCGAGCGUUAAUCGGAAUUACUGGGCGUAAAGCGUGCGCAGGCGGUGAUGUAAGACAGAUGUGAAAUGCCCGGGCUCAACCUGGGACCUGCAUUUGUGACUGCAUCGCUAGAGUACGGUAGAGGGGGGAUGGAAUUCCGCGUGUAGCAGUGAAAUGCGUAGAUAUGCGGAGGAACACCGAUGGCGAAGGCAAUCCCCUGGACCUGUACUGACGCUCAUGCACGAAAGCGUGGGGAGCAAACAGGAUUAGAUACCCUGGUAGUCCACGCCCUAAACGAUGUCAACUGGUUGUUGGGUCUUCACUGACUCAGUAACGAAGCUAACGCGUGAAGUUGACCGCCUGGGGAGUACGGCCGCGAAGGUUGAAACUUAAAGGAAAUUGACGG